rnacentral:rRNA from 1 species
CCCUCCCUCUUUCCUCCGGCCUAACACAUGCAAGUCGAGCGCCCUUUCGGGGGAGCGGCGGCCGGGUGAGUAACGCGUGGGAAUAUGCCCUUCUCUACGGAAUAGCCUCGGGAAACUGAGAGUAAUACCGUAUACGCCCUGUGGGGGAAAGAUUUAUCGGGGAAGGAUUAGCCCGCGUUGGAUUAGGUAGUUGGUGGGGUAAUGGCCUACCAAGCCGACGAUCCAUAGCUGGUUUGAGAGGAUGAUCAGCCACACUGGGACUGAGACACGGCCCAGACUCCUACGGGAGGCAGCAGUGGGGAAUCUUAGACAAUGGGGGCAACCCUGAUCUAGCCAUGCCGCGUGAGUGAUGAAGGCCUUAGGGUUGUAAAGCUCUUUCAGCUGGGAAGAUAAUGACGGUACCAGCAGAAGAAGCCCCGGCUAACUCCGUG